UAGAAUUUAAAAGGGGGUAACAGUUGAUGACUCAAGAAUUGAGGGACCAACGGAGUAUAUGGCUUGAGAAGGAAAGAGAAAAGAAAGAAAGAAAAAAGAAAGGACGAAGAAGAAGAAGAAAAAGAAGAAGAAGGGGGAGAGAGAGAGACUUAGUCUGCCUCUAAUGAAACAAGGGUGAGGAAGGGGCCUGAGGUGCAGUGAAGCUAGCUGGAGAAGCAGCUGUCAACGGCGAGCUUGGUGGAAGGCGAUGGCAGCAGCUCCAACGGCGGUGGAAUGACGAUAAAUAAUAAGAAGGAUAGUAGCUCUUCACGUCGUUCAUGGUAUUUUCGGCAAGAUGAACAACUGCAUCUCGUGGUGAUCAACUUGUCGGAGAGUGGGCUUCCAUCUAGGGGCAGCAGUAAUGAUAAUGGUGGGCAGAGAAAAAAGAGAUCCGAGAAAGAAUAGCUAUAAGGGGCAACUUGGGUUCUUAAGGUUUUUCGACCAAUGUCAUCGUGCCUUCGUUGAUCAGAGACCAUAUUCGGGACCCACGUAUCACAAGCUUUCCAAUGACACCAAUUUCGGGCGAUCAGACUCCAUUGAAAAAUCAACAGUUGAAAACUGUCGAUGAGAUUUUGGGAUGAUCGGGGGUUCAAUCAGAUAUUCAUAUGUGGACUUGUUUGCUACAUAUUAUUUUGAAUCAGUAGAUGAGCUCGGAUCGUCGAUCGAACUUCGGCAGUCAGAGGCGAGUUGACUGUCUCAGUAAAUUCUUUAGAAAUUAUUAAUUGGAGAAAAAUGAUUUAAGGUAUAUUUGUAAGUAUCUUGAAAAAUUAAAUAUGUGCUGUUGAAAAGAGUAACUUGAGCAAUUUUACAAGACCUUAUAUUUAGUUACUUUAUAAAUACUAAAAUGUGAA
rnacentral:lncRNA from 1 species